GUGCCACAACUACUGAAGCCCGUGUGCCUAGAGCCCGUGCUCCACAACAAGAGAAGCCACCACGAGAAGCAUGCACACCGCAACGAAGAGUAGCCCCUGCUCGCCGCAACUAGAGAAAGCCCACGCACAGCAAUGAAGACCCAACGCAGACAAGAAAAAAGAACUCGAAGCCCUUCAGAGCUACCAAGAAUGUCACUUUGUUCACUUCCUGCCUGGGGAGAAAGAGAGAGAGGGAAAGGGGCUACCAAGUGACAAUGGAAGUCGAUUAGCAGAUUGGCUGGCAGGAGUCAGCUGGGAUCGGUUCCCAUCUAUCGCCUCAGCAGGAGAGUCAGUGACUGGUCUCAACUUGCUAUAAAGUUUCCAAGGGAUAUUGGUGCCAGGAAGCUGGUCUACCCAGGACUGGUUUCAGCUGAAGACCUACCUAAAAUGCUCUGAAUUGGUUCGACACAAGUCUUUCUAGUUCCUUCUCAAAGGCAGGAAAUGAUGACAUUUGCUCUCUGCAGACACUGUGGAAGUCACACCUUGGCAGAUAAAUGUACAGAUUCAGGUCACUUGGACGCUCCUGAAACCUGACAUUCUGGGUAAGGUUUUUCUCCCCU